GAGUAACCUGCCCCGAUGACCGGGACAACCCGAGGAAACUCGGGCUAAUACCGGAUGUGGUGCACAGUCAUAAGUCUGUGUACUAAAGGAAGCUUCGGCCUCCGCAUUGGGAGGGGCUCGCGGCCCAUUAGCUUGUUGGUGGGGUUACGGCCUACCAAGGCAACGAUGGGUAGCUGGUCUGAGAGGACGAUCAGCCACACUGGGACUGAGACACGGCCCAGACUCCUACGGGAGGCAGCAGUGGGGAAUCUUGCGCAAUGCGCGAAAGCGUGACGCAGCAACGCCGCGUGGGGGAAGACGGCCUUCGGGUUGUAAACCCCUUUCAGGAGGGACGAAGGUUCGCCGGUGAAUAGCCGUGCGGAUUGACGGUACCUUCAGAAGAAGCUCCGGCUAACUACGUGCCAGCAGCCGCGGUAAUACGUAGGGAGCAAGCGUUGUCCGGAAUCAUUGGGCGUAAAGCGCGCGUAGGCGGCCCUGUAAGUCCGUUGUGAAAGUCAAAGGCUCAACCUUUGAAAGCCGAUGGAUACUGCAGGGCUAGAGUCCGGAAGAGGCGAGUGGAAUUCCUGGUGUAGCGGUGGAAUGCGCAGAUAUCAGGAGGAACACCAAUAGCGAAGGCAGCUCGCUGGGACGGUACUGACGCUAAGGCGCGAAAGCGUGGGGAGCGAACAGGAU
rnacentral:rRNA from 1 species